rnacentral:rRNA from 1 species
UCAGAGCAGAGCAAUCUGCGAUGGCGUGCCUUUUGUUUAAUGAGUCUGCGAGUCAGUGUUUGUGGCAAGACUAAGGGCUUCCGGCCCGGAGUCGCAGCGAAAGCAAGUCCGAACAGGGCGCAAUAAGUCGCAGGUACUGGACCCGAAGCGGAGGUGACCUACCCUUGGCCAGGUUGAAGCAUAGGUAAAACCAUGUGGAGGACCGAACAGGUGAACGUUGAAAAGUUCUCUGAUGAGCUGAGGGUAGGAGUGAAAGGCUAAUCAAACCCCGUGAUAGCUGGUUCUCUUCGAAAUGCAUUUAGGUGCAGCGUCACGUGCUGAUGCGCGGGGGUAGAGCACUGACAAGGCUAGGGGGCACACCCGCUUACCAAACCUUAUCAAACUCCGAAUACCGUGCAAUGGAACGUGGCAGUGAGACAGUGGGGGAUAAGCUUCAUUGUCGAGAGGGAAACAACCCAGACCAGCAGCUAAGGUGCCUAAAUAACGCUCAGUGGAAAGGAUGUGGGAUUACACAGACAGUGAGGAUGUUGGCUUAGAAGCAGCCACCAUUUAAAAAAUGCGUAAUAGCUUACUCAUCGAGUGAUCCUGCGCCGAAAAUGAUUGGCGAUCAAGCGUUAUACCGAAGCUCUGGACUUUGCCGCAAGGCAGAGUGGUAGAAGAGCGUUGCAUGCGCGUCGAAGGGCGAUGGCGACUGACCCUGGAGCACAUGCAAGUGAGUAUGCAGACAUGAGUAACGUUAAGCCGGGUGAAAUCCCCGGCCGCCGUAAACCCGAGGUUUCCAGGGCAACGUGUUUCGUCCCUGGGUUAGCCGGGACCUAAGCCGAGGCCGAGAGGCGUAGGCGAUGGACAUCAGGUUAAUAAUCCUGAGCUCGCAACCCUUAAACUGGGGGGACGCAUGAGAAAAGAUGACUAGGUUAUUGAAUUCCGAGUUGAGUCCACGGACUCAGCGCAUCAUUGGAUCGAGUGCCAAGAAAAGCCCCAGCGUAUGCUAAGCGACCCGUACCGCAAACCGACACAGGUGGGUGGGUAGAAUAUACCAAGGCGUAAGAGUGAAACCUGGUUAAGGAACUCGGCAAAUUAGCCCCGUAACUUCGGAAGAAGGGGUGCCUGCAGCGAUGCAGGCCGCAGAGAAAUGGCCCAACCGACUGUUUAUCAAAAACACAGCACUCUGCAAAGACGCAAGUCGAAGUAUAGGGUGUGACACGUGACCAAUGCCGAAAGAUUAAGGCAAGGGGUUAGCCGCAAGGCGAAGCUCUAAACCCAAGUCCCGGUGAAUGUCGGCCGUAACUAUAACGGUCCUAAGGUAGCGAAAUUCCUUGUCGGGUAAGUUCCGACCUGCACGAAUCGUGAAACGAGUUGGGCACUGUCUCAACCAGGCGCUCAGUGAAAUUGUAGUGGCGGUGAAGAUGCCGCCUACCCGCAGAAGGACGGAAAGACCCUAUAGACCUUAACUGUAAGCUGUCAUUGUUUCUUCGGUUUUAAUGCUCAGAGUAAGUGGGAGACGCUGAAGACGCCCUUUAGGGGGCGUCCGAGUCAUCAAUGAGACACCACCCUUUGAAACUGGAGGAUCUAACCCUGAGCCGUGAAUCCGGCCAGAGGACCGUGUCAGCCGGUCAGUUUUACUGGGGCGGUAUCCUCCCAAAGAGUAACGGAGGAGCGCGAAGGUGGGCUCAGCCCGGUUGGCAACCGGGUGUCGAGUGCAUGGGCAUAAGCCCGCCUAACUGUGAGACCAACAAGUCGAGCAGAUGCGAAAGCAGGCCCAAGUGAUCCGGCGGUAGAAAGUGGAAUUGCCGUCGCUCAACGGAUAAAAGGUACCUUAGGGAUAACAGGCUGAUCACGCCCAAGAGUUCAUAUCGACGGCGUGGUUUGGCACCUCGAUGUCGGCUCGUCGCAUCCUGGGGCUGGAGAAGGUCCCAAGGGUCCGGCUGUUCGCCGGUUAAAGCGGCACGCGAGCUGGGUUCAGAACGUCGCGAGACAGUUCGGUCCUCUAUCCUCUGUGGGCGUUGGAAAAUUGAGGGGUUCAGACCUUAGUACGAGAGGACCGGGUCUGACGCACCACUGGUGCAUCGGUUGUACUGUCAAGUGCAUGGCCGAGUAGCUAAGUGCGGACGGGAUAAGCGCUGAAAGCAUCUAAGCGCCAAGCCCUUCCCAAGAUGAGUUUUCCCUACAGGUUCGUGGAAGACCACCACGUUGAUAGGUCGCAGGUGUAAGUGCAGCAAUGUAUUGAGCCGAGCGAUACUAAUUACCAAUUGACUUCAUCAU